rnacentral:rRNA from 1 species
GACGAACGCUGGCGGCGUGCUUAACACAUGCAAGUCGAACGGUAAGGCCCUUCGGGGUACACGAGUGGCGAACGGGUGAGUAACACGUGGGUGAUCUGCCCUGCACUUCGGGAUAAGCCUGGGAAACUGGGUCUAAUACCGGAUAGGACCACUGCCUGCAUGGGUGGUGGUGGAAAGCUUUUGCGGGGUGGGAUGGGCCCGCGGCCUAUCAGCUUGUUGGUGGGGUGAUGGCCUACCAAGGCGACGACGGGUAGCCGGCCUGAGAGGGUGACCGGACAAACUGGGACGGAGAUACGGCCGAGGCACCUACGGGAGGAAGCAGUGGGGAAUAUAGCACAAUGGGCGCAAGCCUGAUGCAGCGACGCCGCGUGAGGGAUGACGGCCUUCGGGUUGUAAACCUCUUUCAGCACCGACGAAGCGCAAGUGACGGUAGGUGCAGAAGAAGGACCGGCCAACUACGUGCCAGCCGCCGCAGUAA